CACACAACCCUGACGAUACUCACUGGCAUCUUUUUACCGACGGUGAUGCUGAAGUGGAGAAAUGGAAGCAGCAGUACAGUGCGGAACAAGUUUCUAGAGUCUGGGUCACCCGCAAAGGGACCCCUUGAGGGGUGUAAAUAGAGGUGAGGGGCCUCUGGCACAUUCAGAAGAGUGCCCAUCUUUGAAGAUGAAUAAAGACACCUUCAACCACACUCUGCUGCCUGCUUGGAUUCUUUGAGCUGCAUUUCUAACAAUUUGGUGCAUUGGCUGGGAAUCUGAAGAGGAAGAUUGGUCAGGCAGAGAUUCAGGGGUCCAGAAGGAGCUCCCCACUGAUUUCAGCAGCUGACCUGGGGAUCUGCAGCCAGUUCAUCUCUGAGGGAACCUGAAGAAGUGAAAGCAGUGUAUCAGUGAACGCACAAGGCGGAGCAAGGGAAGAAAGGGCAGGAGGAAGGAGAGAAGGGACUGAACCACGGCAAUCGAGCAAUUUUGUGCACAGACCCUGGAUUAAGGGUCUUCUCACUCAGACCCCUCCUCUGGAGUUCAUGGUCCACAAAAUCCGACCAGGUGACUGGGUCCUCAUCAAAUCCUGGAAAGAGACUAAGCUUACUCCGUUUUGGGAAGGACCCUUCCAGGUAUUGCUGACCACUGAGACUACCAUUUGAAUAGCUGAGAAGGAGUGGACUCAUUAUACUCAAGUGAAAGGACCUGUGAGUUGCCCUCCGGACUCUGAAGAACUGGGACUUUAAGAAGAAAUCAGAUGUAAUGGGGAUUUUGUGGGUGGGGGUUGUGAGUAGACUGGUAAAAGAAAUUUUAGGCAUCUGAUUGACUUACCACCUGUGAAGGGAAUACAUGAAGAAAGACUUCAUGGGGACUUGGGAGAAGUGAGACCCAAAAGAAGUUUAGAUACCAGCCUUAUUAGCACUGGGGAUGCCAAUGGAAGGGGAAACAAGUGGCCAUCUGAAAGGAUAAUUAGAGCAUACAGGGGGCAGCUAGGUGGCUCAGUAGAUAAAACACUGGCCCUGGAUUCAGGAGUACCUGAGUUCAAAUCCGACCUCAGACACUUGACACUUAACUAGCUGUGUGACCCUGGGCAAGUCACUUAACCCUCAUUGCCCUGCAAAAAAAAAGAAAAAGAAAAAAAGAACAUACGGGCCUGCCACUUGGGUCUGAGAUGGUAGUUAGGGAUACCAAACUCCCAUAUGUAUAUUAAAUAGGUUGAUUAGGCUGCAAGCAGUGGUGGGAAUGGUUACAAAUCAGACAGCCCAGGCCUUAGACCUCCUGGCAGAGCAAGCUACAGAGACUAGGGAGACCUUUUACCAGCACUGCCUGGCUCUGGACUAUUUGUUAGCAAAAGAAGGGGGAGUCUGUGGAAAAUUGAACUUAAUCACCUGCUGCUUGAAGAUAGACAACAAUGGAAAGAUAAUAAGAGGGAUAACAACUAACAUUACAAAAAUAGCUCAUGUGCUGGUGCCAAGGUGGGACUCAGUCUUUGAGAAUGGUUGGAUGUCAUGGUUUGAUGGAAACAACUGGGGUUCUUCUUAAUAUAUGUUAUAGCUGGUCUGCUAUUCAUACCUUGUUUAAUAUCCUGUUUUAUAAACCUUAUCCCCAGGGUUGUGGAGGGAGUGCAAGUGGUAGCUUUACCUGAAGGGAAAAGAGGAUAUCAAAUGAUGGUAUUAUGAAAAGACACAGACCCUGGGUUGGACAAUUUGGAUUUGGAAGUAGAUGAAUUAUAUAGACAAUGGAAUGAGAAGAGUCCACACAUAAUAAAAUAAAAAGAGGCAGGAUUGAGAGAAAAGACCAUAUCUGGACUCUUCUCAGAGCCCUAAAGGCAGAGAGUGCGUCCGGUUUCAGGCCCUACAGCUUUGUUGCCCAAACCUCCCAGUAGGGGGCCACCCAGCCCAUGGGGCUCUGGGGAGCUGAGGCUCCUGGGCUUUGGGUCUGAGCAGGGCCUGGAGAGUGGCCUAGGUUUUAUGGGAGUUGGGCUGGGCUGGGAGUUCACCUUGAGGUGCCCAAGGUGAUCUCCACAUGACCCCGAUGUUCAAACCCCGACUUAAGUUUAAGUUGUGUGUCUUGACAAGUUAUGUAUGGUUCUGUGUGUCCACACAGCACUGUUCUAGUGAGGAAUGGGGCCAUUCUUGUCCAGAAUAAGGUUAAAGCCUAGUGCUGCAAUCUGGUUGGUCAAAUGGUAUCACCUGAUGGGUUCUUGGGCUGUUACUGUUAUUCUGUAUAAAUAGCAACUGUAAUAACUGAAAUAACUGAAAUGUAAAUAGGGUGAUAGUAAAAUACCUUAAUGUGAUU